rnacentral:rRNA from 1 species
CCUACGGGAGGCAGCAGUGAGGAAUAUUGGUCAAUGGACGCAAGUCUGAACCAGCCAUGCCGCGUGCAGGAAGACGGCUCUAUGAGUUGUAAACUGCUUUUGUACGAGAGUAAACGCCGAUACGCGUCUCUGUCUGACAGUAUCGUACGAAUAAGGAUCGGCUAACUCCGUGCCAGCAGCCGCGGGUAUACGGAGGGUUAAAGCGUUAUCCGGAUUUAUUGGGUUUAACGGGUGCGUAGGCGGUCGGAAAAGUUAGAGGUGAAAUCCCGAGGCUCAACUUCUGAAUUGCCUGUGAUACUGUGCGGCAGGAGAGUAGGUGCGGUAGGCGGAAUGUAUGGUGUAGCGGUGAAAUGCUUAGAGAUCAUACAGAACACCGAUUGCGAAGGCAGCUUACCAAGCUACUUCUGACGUUGAGGCACGAAAGCGUGGGGAGCAAACAGGAUUAGAUACCCGUGUAGUC